AUUUGAGCAGUUUCUGGCAACUGGGUACGUUCCUCCCUCUUACUUCUAAUACAUCAGCCCACAAAUCAUACAUUGCAUACAAACGCCAAUUCACCAAAAUCUUGUAUUUCUCACCUUAGUUGGGAUGUAGUAUUGGAAAUUGAUUCAACUUAGGAUACUUAAAAAUUAUAUUUAUUGUAAAAUUACGAAGCUUAAAUGCAUAUUGAAAAACUUGUUCUAGAAAAAGAAGCUA
rnacentral:misc_RNA from 1 species